UGAGUAACGCGUGAGUAACCUGCCUUACACAAGGGGAUAGCCGUUGGAAACGACGAAUAAUACCCUAUGACAUAAACUCUUCGCAUGAGGAGCUUAUCAAAGAUUUAUCGGUGUAAGAUGGACUCGCGUCUGAUUAGCUAGUUGGUGAGGUAACGGCCCACCAAGGCGACGAUCAGUAGCCGGCUUGAGAGAGUGUACGGCCACAUUGGGACUGAGACACGGCCCAGACUCCUACGGGAGGCAGCAGCC
rnacentral:rRNA from 1 species